AUGGCAGCGACGCGUGCGUGCUUGGUCGCCCUCGUCGUGGCUCUCGCGUUUGUCUUCUUGGAGGGACUGGCAGCAGCAGCGCCGGCGACUCCGGAGAGUAGAGCGCAGCGGCGGCGGGAGGUGCGAAGCCUCCUCAGGCGGCUCAAUAAGCCUCCUGUCGCAAGCAUUCAGAGCCUAGAUGGAGAUAUCAUAGACUGUGUGCACAUCUCCAAACAACCUGCAUUCGACCAUCCUCUCCUCAAGAACCAUACUAUACAGAUGCAGCCUUCUUACCAUCCAGGAGGCAUGUAUCAUGAAUCUAACAUCCCACCUCAUCACAUCACCCAAACAUGGCAUCAAAAUGGCAAGUGCCCUGAGAACACAAUACCAAUCCGAAGGACCAAGGAGGAGGAUGUCUUGAGGGCCAAUUCCAUCAAGAGGUAUGGCAAAAAGAGGCCCCAGAGCAUCGCAAACCUCGAUUCAAUCAAUAAACCAGUAAUAUCCAAUAUAUCGACGGGGCACCAGCAUGCCAUUGCAUCUGCACAGGUUGAUAACUGCCAUGGGACCAAAGCCAGCUUCAAUUUGUGGAAACCAACAAUUGCAAGGGCCGAUGACUUUAGCUUGACACAACUCUGGAUCAUUGGGGGUUCCUACAGUGGCAACGACCUCAAUACCAUUGAAGCUGGAUGGCAGGUAUACCCAGGUCUAUAUAUGGAUAGAAAUACUAGACUCUUCAUCUACUGGACUCGUGAUGCGUAUCAAACAACAGGAUGUUACAACCUACAUUGCUCAGGGUUCAUCCAGACAAACAAUCAGAUCACCCUUGGUGGCAGUAUCUCCCCAACCUCCACCUAUGGAGGCGCACAAUAUGACAUCGACAUUUUAGUUUGGAAGGACAAGGUGGGAGGGAAUUGGUGGCUGCAAGUGGGGGGCUAUUAUGUGGGGUAUUGGCCAUCGUUCAUCUUCACCUACUUGGCAAAUAGUGCCUCCUCUGUCCAGUGGGGUGGUGAGGUAUUUUCACCUGAUGUCGGCCAAACUUCCACACAUAUGGGUAGUGGACACUUCCCCAAUGAAGGGUUCCGUCAGGCCAGUUACAUUAGGAACAUCCAAGUGGUAGAUUCCUCCAACUCUCUCAUACCGCCAAGUGAUGUGGGCUUAAUAGCUCAGCAGAACAACAGUUAUGAUGUGCAAGGUGGUGUCUAUGGAAGCGACUGGGGCACUUACAUCUACUAUGGUGGCCCUGGGAACUAA
rnacentral:rRNA from 1 species